UCCGGUUUAACACCGGCAGUCUCCUCAGAGUCCCCAACUUAAUGCUGGUAACUAAGGACAAGGGUUGCGCUCGUUAUCGGACUUAACCGGACAUCUUACGACACGAGCUGACGACAGCCAUGCAGCACCUAUCACCAAGUCCCCGAAGGGAAGACCGCAUCUCUGCGGCUGUCCUGGGAUGUUAAGGGUAGGUAAGGUUCUGCGCGUUGCUUCGAAUUAAACCACAUACUCCACCGCUUGUGCGGGCCCCCGUCAAUUCCUUUGAGUUUUAGCCUUGCGACCGUACUCCCCAGGCGGGAUACUUAAUGCGUUAGCUCCGGCACGGAGGGAGUCGACACCCCCCACACCUAGUGACCAUCGUUUACGGCGUGGACUAC
rnacentral:misc_RNA from 1 species